UUCUUCGACCCUGUCAGGGUUUAAGCGCCUUCGAUAACCGUUUGGAGCGCACGCAACGCAAGCAACUGCGGGAAGGAGGAGGAUACAGGAGAGAGAGAUGGACGGCGGCGGCGGCGAGGACGGCAUCGAUCCCGCAUGCGGAGAGGCGAUGGACCUCGACAUGGCCCUCGAUCUCAACUUCUCCCACGGCGCCGCCAGGCCCGCCCCGCGAUCCGCCCGCUUCCAACCCAAGAUGAAGGGCAAGGUCAAGAACGAGCCUCCGAUCCGGAUUAAGCCCGAUCCCGACACCAAACCUUCCUCUCAUCCCGCUUCUUGUCCAGACCCCGUCAAGGAGGAGCCUGGAGUUGACCCCUCGUCGUCCCGCCCGGACGCAGAGGACGCAGAGAGCGGUGCGAUGGAUGUUGAUGGAGGUUUCGAGGAGGAAGUGGAAGAGGAUGAUACAGUGGUUCGCGAGAUCGACGUCUUCUGUUCUCCAACUCCUCUCGAUGAGGAUACCUAUCUAUAUAUUUUGCAAUAUGUACUUAGACCUUCUUGGAGACCAUAUGAACUGAAUGAAAGAUGUGACAAGGUCCGUGUGAAGCCAAAAAAAUCAAAUAUUGAGAUAGACUUGAGUCUGGAUAUUGAUAGUGAGAACUAUGAUCAAGACACCUCUGAACUCCAAAGGUUAGAGAAGCAGACAUUGUCUUCAUCAAAAACACCUUUAGUAGCUACUUAUGCUGUCGGGAUGUUGAAUGGAAACCAGUUGCACUUAAAUCCUGUACAUGCAGUUGUCCAACUCCGCCCAUCAAUAGCAUACUUAAAUCCUAAGACGAAACAAAAUGUGCAGAGUGCGGAAUCAAGUGCAAAAUCUGACAUCAAUGCUGUAGGUUUACCGAUCAAGCAGGAAAAGUUGGGCCAGGCAGGUUCGAAUGAUGGUGGAGAAAUAGAUGAGCCAUGGAUAUCUCUAGAAUAUCAUCCAAUUGAUAGCCACUUUACAGAUAGAUACCAUCAGAAAAUGAUUGCAGAAGAUCAUCAUCAAAUUCCAUUUAUGAUUAAACCAUCUGAUUAUAUCAACUCAUUGUACCCUGGAACAUCAACAGACGAUAAGAGAACACAAGCUUUUUCUCUAAGGCACUUGCUCUCACUCCCCUUGGAAAAGCGGUUGAAGAAAUGGUUUUCUGAGGUUUGCCAGGUGAAUAAUUUUAAUGCACUCUUGGAUCUUGCUCCGGAUAGUUCGAAAGAAGAUGUUCUGAAAGUGCUGCCACAUUAUGCAGAUUUGGUACAGGGAUUGUGGGUUACAAAGAGCUCAUUGUUACAUGAAGGCGAAGCUGCUCUUUAUAGAGAUUAUCUUCUUUAUUUAUUCAGUAUGAAUCCCAUAAUUCAAACAGACAGAUUGAGGAUGUUAACGUCAAAGUGCACUGGCCUGAAAUCUAUACUCAUUCCAUUGGCUGUUGAAAGGCGCAUCCUCAAGCACUGGAAAUUCAUAAAGUCUACUGACAUGGUAUUUAUUAGAAACAAUCCAAAAAUUGUGGAUGAUCAGGAAAAGGCUUGGUUGGCAUGCUGGAAUAACAUAAAAAAGUCUGUAGGAGAAAAGAUGCAUGUCCCUGUUCCAAGUGGUAAAAGAGUUAAAAUAGCCGAUGAUGUACAUGAAAGCAAAGAUAAGGCAGUGAACACAGCAGUGUCAUCACUGUCAAGUGAAACACAGGAGCAUCUUCUAAAGAUUCUCCAGAAAUUUUUCAAGGAUAAAAAAAUUCGUAGUAUAAACUCAGUAGUCAAUGAAUUGAGGGGCUUGGCAAUCAGCAACUCUUCUCGUCCAAGAGAAGACCCUAAAAUUAGAGCGAUUAUUAAUGCUGCUGCCAACGGUGCAUCUGCUCCUAUAUCUGAGCUCCAGUCCAUUGUGUCUCAAAUCGCUGUGGAUGUACAUGGCACAUAUGUUCUGAAAUCUACAGGGAGUUCGGAUCUUGAUAGAUUGAGAGAUGUUGUCAUUGAUCUUUUCAGGGGCAAAGAACCUAAGGCAAAGCUCAAUAAGCAGGAGGUUCGCAUGGCUGCUAAAGCUCGUCUCCAGAAGGAUAUUAAUGAUUCUGACUAUAAUCAGGUAAUGCGUGAUUUGUGUGAUUCUAGCAAAGGAUCGUGGGCACUUAAAAGUGGAGACUAGUAAUUGGCUCAGAUGUGGAUAAAUUUGCCGACUGACUUUUUUUUGUGAGUCUCAAAUGUUAAACUAUAUAUCACUAGAGCCUAAUAAUAUUGUAUUUUGUCCGUGAAAUAAUCAAACACAACACCUAACCAUUUUGAAAAGCCAGCGAACCAUGCAACAUUGUUCUUGUUUUCUAUCGGCCAAGAGGACAACUACUACCAUUAUGAGUUUGAACGAUGGAGGUUCAAUAUUUCACUUCGCAGCACAUCUCACCUUUUUCUGAGUUCUCCUAUUGACUAGUGACUGGAAGCUUGAUUGGCAUUACGUACAUUUUUUUAAUUUUUAUUUAGUCCAUCAAAUUUUGGUUAAUUGUGUUAGAUUUAAGAAAAAAAAUUCUAUCAACACAUUAGUAUGCAGUUCUUUUCCCUAAUUAAUUGUUCAAACUCUCGUGAACUGCUGAAAAUUUAACGCUUGAA